UACAGAGGGGGCAAGCGUUGUUCGGAAUUACUGGGCGUAAAGGGCGCGUAGGCGGCCGACUAAGUCAGACGUGAAAUCCCAUGGCUCAACCAUGGAACUGCGUCUGAUACUGGACGGCUUGAGUUCGGGAGAGGGAAGUGGAAUUCCAGGUGUAGCGGUGAAAUGCGUAGAUAUCUGGAGGAACACCGGUGGCGAAGGCGGCUUCCUGGACCGACACUGACUCUGAUCUGCGAAAGCUAGGGGAGCAAACAGG
rnacentral:rRNA from 1 species